UUAAGCGACUAAGCGUACACGGUGGAUGCCCUGGCAGUCAGAGGCGAUGAAGGACGUGCUAAUCUGCGAUAAGCGUCGGUGAGGUGAUAUGAACCGUUAUAACCGGCGAUUUCCGAAUGGGGAAACCCAGUGUGUUUCGACACACUAUCAUUAACUGAAUCCAUAGGUUAAUGAGGCGAACCGGGGGAACUGAAACAUCUAAGUACCCCGAGGAAAAGAAAUCAACCGAGAUUCCCCCAGUAGCGGCGAGCGAACGGGGAGGAGCCCAGAGCCUGAAUCAGUGUGUGUGUUAGUGGAAGCGUCUGGAAAGGCGCGCGAUACAGGGUGACAGCCCCGUACACAAAAAUGCACAUAUUGUGAGCUCGAUGAGUAGGGCGGGACACGUGGUAUCCUGUCUGAAUAUGGGGGGACCAUCCUCCAAGGCUAAAUACUCCUGACUGACCGAUAGUGAACCAGUACCGUGAGGGAAAGGCGAAAAGAACCCCGGCGAGGGGAGUGAAAAAGAACCUGAAACCGUGUACGUACAAGCAGUGGGAGCCUCUUAAUGGGGUGACUGCGUACCUUUUGUAUAAUGGGUCAGCGACUUAUAUUCUGUAGCAAGGUUAACCGAAUAGGGGAGCCGAAGGGAAACCGAGUCUUAACUGGGCGUUAAGUUGCAGGGUAUAGACCCGAAACCCGGUGAUCUAGCCAUGGGCAGGUUGAAGGUUGGGUAACACUAACUGGAGGACCGAACCGACUAAUGUUGAAAAAUUAGCGGAUGACUUGUGGCUGGGGGUGAAAGGCCAAUCAAACCGGGAGAUAGCUGGUUCUCCCCGAAAGCUAUUUAGGUAGCGCCUCGUGAAUUCAUCUCCGGGGGUAGAGCACUGUUUCGGCAAGGGGGUCAUCCCGACUUACCAACCCGAUGCAAACUGCGAAUACCGGAGAAUGUUAUCACGGGAGACACACGGCGGGUGCUAACGUCCGUCGUGAAGAGGGAAACAACCCAGACCGCCAGCUAAGGUCCCAAAGUCAUGGUUAAGUGGGAAACGAUGUGGGAAGGCCCAGACAGCCAGGAUGUUGGCUUAGAAGCAGCCAUCAUUUAAAGAAAGCGUAAUAGCUCACUGGUCGAGUCGGCCUGCGCGGAAGAUGUAACGGGGCUAAACCAUGCACCGAAGCUGCGGCAGCGACACUAUGUGUUGUUGGGUAGGGGAGCGUUCUGUAAGCCUGUGAAGGUGGCCUGUGAGGGUUGCUGGAGGUAUCAGAAGUGCGAAUGCUGACAUAAGUAACGAUAAAGCGGGUGAAAAGCCCGCUCGCCGGAAGACCAAGGGUUCCUGUCCAACGUUAAUCGGGGCAGGGUGAGUCGACCCCUAAGGCGAGGCCGAAAGGCGUAGUCGAUGGGAAACAGGUUAAUAUUCCUGUACUUGGUGUUACUGCGAAGGGGGGACGGAGAAGGCUAUGUUGGCCGGGCGACGGUUGUCCCGGUUUAAGCGUGUAGGCUGGUUUUCCAGGCAAAUCCGGAAAACCAAGGCUGAGGCGUGAUGACGAGGCACUACGGUGCUGAAGCGACAAAUGCCCUGCUUCCAGGAAAAGCCUCUAAGCAUCAGGUAACAUCAAAUCGUACCCCAAACCGACACAGGUGGUCAGGUAGAGAAUACCAAGGCGCUUGAGAGAACUCGGGUGAAGGAACUAGGCAAAAUGGUGCCGUAACUUCGGGAGAAGGCACGCUGAUAUGUAGGUGAAGCGACUAGCUCGUGGAGCUGAAAUCAGUCGAAGAUACCAGCUGGCUGCAACUGUUUAUUAAAAACACAGCACUGUGCAAACACGAAAGUGGACGUAUACGGUGUGACGCCUGCCCGGUGCCGGAAGGUUAAUUGAUGGGGUUAGCGGCAACGCGAAGCUCUUGAUCGAAGCCCCGGUAAACGGCGGCCGUAACUAUAACGGUCCUAAGGUAGCGAAAUUCCUUGUCGGGUAAGUUCCGACCUG
rnacentral:rRNA from 1 species